rnacentral:rRNA from 1 species
UGGGGAAUAUUGGUCAAUGGGCGGGAGCCUGAACCAGCCAUGCCGCGUGCAGGAAGACGGCGUUCUGCGUUGUAAACUGCUUUUAUACGGGAAGAAAAGGCCCAUGCGUGGGACAUUGCCGGUACCGUAUGAAUAAGCACCGGCUAACUACGUGCCAGCAGCCGCGGUAAUACGUAGGGCGCGAGCGUUGUCCGGAAUUAUUGGGCGUAAAGAGCUCGUAGGCGGCUGGUCGCGUCUGCCGUGAAAGGCCUGGGCUUAACUUGGGUUUUGCGGUGGAUACGGGCCGGCUAGAGGUAGGUAGGGGAGAACGGAAUUCCUGGUGUAGCGGUGAAAUGCGCAGAUAUCAGGAGGAACACCGGUGGCGAAGGCGGUUCUCUGGGCCUAUCCUGACGCUGAGGCGCGAAAGCGUGGGGAGCAAACAGGAUUAGAUACC